rnacentral:tRNA from 1 species
GCUAACGUAGCUCAAAUCAAGAGCAUGGCACUGAAAAUGCCAAGAUAGAUACUAAAAAAUCUCGCGAGCA